UACGUAGGUGGCAAGCGUUGUCCGGAUUUACUGGGCGUAAAGAGCGCGCAGGCGGUCGUUCAAGUCGCGUGUGAAAGCCCCCGGCUCAACUGGGGAGGGUCACGCGAUACUGAUCGACUCGAAGGCAGGAGAGGGAAGUGGAAUUCCCGGCGUAGCGGUGAAAUGCGCAGAUAUCGGGAAGAACACCCGUGGCGAAGGCGGCUCUCUGGGACGGUACUGACGCUGAGACGCGGAA
rnacentral:rRNA from 1 species